rnacentral:tRNA from 2 species
GGAAAAGUGGCUAAGUUAUUGAAGAAAAUAGGCAUUAAGUACCCAAUAUAUACCACUUAUAAAAUCUAACUCAUUGAUUUGUUGUGUAUUCUCUCCGGUCUUGAAAACCGGCGACCCGAAAGGGUUCUAGAGUUCGAAUCUCUACGCUUCCGCCA